rnacentral:tRNA from 1 species
UGCAUCGGCCGGGAAUUGAACCCGGGCCGCCCACGUGGCAGGCGAGCAUUCUACCACUGAACCACCGAUGG